CGAGAAAACUUUAGCAAUAGUGCGAAAGACACGACAAGGUUAAUCCGAGUGGUUUCUGCUAAAGGAACCUUUUGCCAGUCCUAGAAACACUGAUGAAUAAGGGGUGGGCAAGUUCUGGUGUCAGCCGCCGCGGUAAAACCAGCACCUCAAGUGGUCAGGAGGAUUAUUGGGCCUAAAGCAUCCGUAGCCUGCUUUGUAAGUUUUCGGUAAAUCCAUAUGCUCAACAUAUGGGCUGCCGGGAAUACUGCACAGCUAGGGAGUGGGAGAGGUAGACGGUACUCGGUAGGAAGGGUAAAUCCUUGAUCUAUUGAUGACCACCUGUGGCGAAGGCGGUCUACCAGAACACGUCCGACGGUGAGGGAUGAAAGC
rnacentral:rRNA from 2 species